GAUGAACGCUGGCGGCGUGCCUAAUACAUGCAAGUCGAGCGAACAGACGAGGAGCUUGCUCCUCUGACGUUAGCGGCGGACGGGUGAGUAACACGUGGAUAACCUACCUAUAAGACUGGGAUAACUUCGGGAAACCGGAGCUAAUACCGGAUAAUAUAUUGAACCGCAUGGUUCAAUAGUGAAAGACGGUUUUGCUGUCACUUAUAGAUGGAUCCGCGCCGCAUUAGCUAGUUGGUAAGGUAACGGCUUACCAAGGCAACGAUGCGUAGCCGACCUGAGAGGGUGAUCGGCCACACUGGAACUGAGACACGGUCCAGACUCCUACGGGAGGAAGCAGUAGGGAAUCUUCCGCGAUGGGCGAAAGCCUGACGGAGCAACGCCGCGUGAGUGAUGAAGGUCUUCGGAUCGUAAAACUCUGUUAUUAGGGAAGAACAAAUGUGUAAGUAACUAUGCACGUCUUGACGGUACCUAAUCAGAAAGCCACGGCUAACUACGUG
rnacentral:rRNA from 1 species